rnacentral:rRNA from 1 species
UACGAAGGGGGCUAGCGUUGCUCGGAAUUACUGGGCGUAAAGCGUGCGCAGGCGGUGAUGUAAGACAGAUGUGAAAUCCCCGGGCUCAACCUGGGAACUGCAUUUGUGACUGCAUCGCUGGAGUGCGGCAGAGGGGGAUGGAAUUCCGCGUGUAGCAGUGAAAUGCGUAGAUAUGCGGAGGAACACCGAUGGCGAAGGCAAUCCCCCUGGGCCUGCACUGACGCUCAUGCACGAAAGCGUGGGGAGCAA